rnacentral:ncRNA from 1 species
UACCUGAUUGAUUCUGUCAGCGCGAUAUGCUCAAGUAAAAGAUUAAGCCAUGCAUGCUUUGAUUCAUAAAUGAAAUUGCGUACGGCUCAUUAGAGCAGAUAUCACCUUUCUCGGAAUCCUGAAAAGGAUAACUGCGGAAAUUCUGGAGCUAAUACAUGCGACUAUACUCCAACGCAAGGCGGGGUGCAAUUAUUAGAACAGACCAAACGUUUUCGGCGUUGUUUGUUGACUCUGAAUACCGUCGUUUACUGUCAGUUUCGACUGACUCUAUCCGAGAAGGGUGUCUGCCCUUUCAACUAGAUGGUAAUCUAUUGGACUACCAUGGUUGUUACGGGUAACGGAGAAUUAGGGUUCGACUCCGGAGAGGGAGCCUUAGAAACGGCUACCACGUCCAAGGAAGGCAGCAGGCGCGAAACUUAUCCACUGUUGAGUAUGAGAUAGUGACUAAAAAUAUAAAGACUCAUCCUUUUGGAUGAGUUAUUUCAAUGAGUUGAAUAUAAAUUAUUCUUCGAGUAGCAAGGAGAGGGCAAGUCUGGUGCCAGCA